AAACCUUGCAGAUGAAGUUGGUUUGGAGUAUUCAGCUUCUGUUGUACUAUUAGUCAGUUUGACUUCCAACCCCAGCCAUGUUGUUCAUCUGGUCAAUUAUUAUGUUCUCAGUAAUGGGUGACACCUAUGAGCAGAAUAUCGAGCCAAACCAACAUGAAGUGUAUGCAGAAGUGGGAAGUAUUGUUCUUCUUUCCUGCAACUACUCCUCAGCAGACAAUCUACUAUGGUAUAAACAGUCUCCAGGAUCAGCUCCCCAAUACCUUCUGCUCAUCCUGGACUCCACCGGGACUGAACAUAGAGAUGAUUCUCUUGACUCUCGCUUCUCUGGUAAACUGAACAAUGAGAAGACCCGUCUGGAUCUGGAGAUCUCCUCUGCUAAAGUGACAGACUCUGCUCUGUACUACUGUGCUCUGACGCCCACAGUGAUAGGAAACCCAGAGACACUUGCCGCACUGACACAUACAGCUGACUUUGGGAAUAUUGAGAUUGAGCUGGAGGUUGUAUCAUGCCCCCUGUCUUUUGACAGCGAGAAAGCACCACCAGACACACAACUGGAGCUCAUCAACAUCCAGUGUGACAUUGCUUUGAAGGAGAAGUACAACAGCCACAAAAUACCCGUUUUAUGGCUCACUGAAUGA